UGUGAUCGAAUCUGAAAGAGAAUAAGUUGACAAAAAGGACGGUCUAGGAUUUGAGUAGUAGUCUAUAAAACGACUACCACUCUAUGGAUUAGUCAGUGAAAUGUCAAAAUUAUUUGACAACAACAAAACGCAUUUACAUAUAUUUUUACACUUAAGUUACUUUAUUUCAUUAAAAUAUAAAUAUUCUUUGGUUUAGAAUUCUAAAACAUGGCUUUAAAUAAACCAUUAAAUGAAUUUAAAAAAAAUAUAAACUAAAAAUAUCACAGUCAACUACAUCAGGCUACAUAACCUCUUCUGUGCAAUGUUUUUUGUUAAUUAAGUAAAUCUCCAACAACGAUAUUAUACGGAUGGGGUGGAGAAA